CCUACGGGUGGCAGCAGUGGGGAAUUUUGGGCAAUGGGCGCAAGCCUGACCCAGCAACGCCGCGUGAAGGAAGAAGGCUCUCGGGUUGUAAACUUCUUUUAUCAGGGCCGAAGCAAAGGACGGUACCUGAUAAAUAAGCCACGGCUAACUAAGUGCUAGCAGCCGGGGUAAUACGUAGGUGGCAAGCGUUAGCCAGAUUUACUGGGUGUAAAGGGCGUGAAGGCGGGGAAGCAAGUCAGAUGUGAAAACCAUGGCCUCAACCUGUGGACUGCAUUUGAUACUGUUUUUCUUGAGUUCUGGAGAGGCAGACGGAAUUCCUAGUGUAGCAGUGAAAUGCGUAGAUAUUAGGAGGAACACCAGUGGCGAAGGCGGUCUGCUGGACAGCAACUGACGCUGAGGCGCGAAAGCGUGGGGAGCAAACAGGAUUAGAUACCCGUGUAGUC
rnacentral:rRNA from 1 species